rnacentral:rRNA from 1 species
GUCCACGCUGUAAACGAUGGGCACUAGGUGUCCGGGGUAUUGACCCACUGGGUGCCACAGCUAACGCAUUAAGUGCCCCGCCUGGGGAGUACGGUAGCAAGAUUAAAACUCAAAGGAAUUGACGGGGGCCCGCACAAGCGGUGGAGCAUGUGGUUCAAUUCGACGCAACGCGAAGAACCUUACCUGGGCUAGACAACAGCGGACCGUCCUAGAAAUAGGAUUUUCCCUUCGGGGACCGCUGGUUCAGGUGCUGCAUGGCUGUCGU